AUCGAUAUUUGCCGAUUGAAACAUAAACGAGAAAUAGGACAGAACAACUUUCUUAAUACCAUCAUCCAAACCCUGCCAGCUCUCCUACUCAUCAAACACACCAUGCUCAAGUUAACUUAUAAUAAUAUAAUUCAUCAAUGUUUUUCAUAGUUGGGCUCUCAAGUUCAUAUGCCAUACUUGAUCAAAGAAAGAAAAAGUUCUUAUGCAAUAUAAUUGAUUUUGAUAUCAAAAGAGAAGUUCCUCAAAGUCUCGAACACUGCAGUUUCAUCUGCCAUCCUUAUAAUUGAUACAUCUUUUCUAUUCAUGUAGGGGUAUAAUUGAUAAAAAUUAAAAUGCUGGGUACAUUUAGAAGUUUGCUAGCUAUAUUUAACAACACCCUUUCACUUUGAAGAUUCAUUAGGGCAACUCCAACAGAGGUUCUAAAACUGGGUUUUAGUCUUAUAUCUCCAGUUUUCAUCACCAACGGGCCAAAAGAAUGGGUUCUAGUCUUGGAAAUAUAGGACCAAGUCCUAUUCUCAGUCUUAAAUUUGGGACAAUUCCAGGACCAGGACUUGGGUCCACUUGAUUUUGGGCUGAGCCAGAGACAAUGGAGACGCCACGUGUCACAUCCCGACCCUUAUAUUUUUACCUUAUUUACUAGCCUGAUUAUAAUAAGAAUUUUACCGUCUCCGUCAUUGUGUAAAUAGUUUAAUUGGUCCCUAAAGGGGUUUCGGGGACGAUUAUGUGCGGAGGAUUAUUCGUAUGGGGAAAAUACGACGACGGUAAAAAUAGUAAAUUUUAGCUAGUAAAAGGUAAUUUUUAUUCGGGUAUUAUUUUUUCGGGGUGUUUCAUUUUUUUUGGAAUUGGGUUGAUAGGUUGGACCGGUGGAGGCCCAACCNNNNNNNNNNNNNNNNNNNNNNNNNNNNNNNNNNNNNNNNNNNNNNNNNNNNNNNNNNNNNNNNNNNNNNNNNNNNNNNNNNNNNNNNNNNNNNNNNNNNNNNNNNNNNNNNNNNNNNNNNNNNNNNNNNNNNNNNNNNNNNNNNNNNNNNNNNNNNNNNNNNNNNNNNNNNNNNNNNNNNNNNNNNNNNNNNNNNNNNNNNNNNNNNNNNNNNNNNNNNNNNNNNNNNNNNNNNNNNNNNNNNNNNNNNNNNNNNNNNNNNNNNNNNNNNNNNNNNNNNNNNNNNNNNNNNNNNNNNNNNNNNNNNNNNNNNNNNNNNNNNNNNNNNNNNNNNNNNNNNNNNNNNNNNNNNNNNNNNNNNNNNNNNNNNNNNNNNNNNNNNNNNNNNNNNNNNNNNNNNNNNNNNNNNNNNNNNNNNNNNNNNNNNNNNNNNNNNNNNNNNNNNNNNNNNNNNNNNNNNNNNNNNNNNNNNNNNNNNNNNNNNNNNNNNNNNNNNNNNNNNNNNNNNNNNNNNNNNNNNNNNNNNNNNNNNNNNNNNNNNNNNNNNNNNNNNNNNNNNNNNNNNNNNNNNNNNNNNNNNNNNNNNNNNNNNNNNNNNNNNNNNNNNNNNNNNNNNNNNNNNNNNNNNNNNNNNNNNNNNNNNNNNNNNNNNNNNNNNNNNNNNNNNNNNNNNNNNNNNNNNNNNNNNNNNNNNNNNNNNNNNNNNNNNNNNNNNNNNNNNNNNNNNNNNNNNNNNNNNNNNNNNNNNNNNNNNNNNNNNNNNNNNNAAAAGUAAUUAGAAAUAACAUAAAAAAUGUAUAGAUCCAUUGGCAACUUUUUUUUUUAAGAAUUCUAUAAAUACCAACCCAAAACUUCACAAAUUCCUAACACCAAAAUCCUUUUCUCCUUCCAAACUUUUCAUUUAUUCACUACAUCUUGUUCUUCAAUUUUUUUUUUCCAAGAGAAAAAAUGGGCAAAAGAAAUGAUUCAUGGAGACACAAUGAAGAAGCUAUUCUGUGCCAAGCUUGGAUCACCAUCACCACCGACGAUGCCACCGGAACAAAUCAAUCGGCGGAUACAAUGUGGGAGCGUAUAUCGGCUGAGUACAAUACACAAAAACAGGCGACUUGCGUAGAGAGAUCAUCGGAUAGUUGUAAAGCUUGUUGGAAGGUAUUUAGUCCGCUAUGUACGAAGUUAUAGAUGAAGUGGCGCGAAUCUCUUACCCAAGCCUAAUUGGACCACCAAAGCGGUGAAAAUGAGGAAGACGAUGUAAGUAUAUUAUUCAUAUGUUUACAAAAUGUUUUAUUUAUUCUUUCUGAUUUAAUUUAUUGAAAAUUAUGGUGUAGCUAGGUUGUUAAGUGUGUAACCAUGAGCAUAUGAGCAUUUAAUUUUACUCAUGCUAAGACAAUAUAUUUUAGUGUAAGUAAUAUAUAAAUUACUUAAUUUGUUGUAUAGCUCAUGAGUACUAAUAAAUAUUACUUCAUUUUGUGUCUAGCUCACGAGAGCUAGGUCAAUUUACUUCGACAAAGUUGGCGCGGAUUUUGUCUAUGACCAUUGUUGGCGAUACUUGAAAAAUACUAUCAAGUUUGGCGAAACGUGUCAAGACCCACCCCGAAUUUCACCCUGAAACCCGAAGUAAAUCCUGCGGGGACCACCUCCAAGGAAAAUUUACCGAAAAUUUAGUAUAACCUCUCUUGAAAAUGGACAACCCUUCCUAAUAAUACUUGCAUACACUUUAAAAUAAUCCAUUUAUAACCCUCUACUCCUGGAGCCUUCGUGCUCCUCAGAACACAACAUCUCCCCAUUUAUUUACUAACUUUAAUAAGAAAAACUCACGACUAACAAUCACAGGUUCAGAGCAACUCUAUUAGAUGAGAAAUGUACUAAAAAUAUAUAAAUGUGCGGAAGCUAUACUAUUGACUAUACCUCGUCUCCAUGUACGCCUGACUCAACUAUGCAAUCCUGCAAACUGGGCAUUUUUAAAACGAAGGGCCUAGGGGAAAAUAUUUGAAAACAUUAGAGUGAGUGGACAAAAGUAAAUUUAAAAGAAAUGAGCAAUAAAUAUCUUUAUGCUUUCCCAAUUUAAUUUCCGAAGAACAGCGAAUGCAUGCCUCAAACGAUAAAGCUUUCAACUCAUAAAAACAUCGAGCCUCUCAAGCUCUACAAUAUAUAUGUAUGUAUUUACACACGUCCAUACUCCCUAUAUAAAUUUUAUGGAUUUAUAUAGGGCUACUACGCUCGCGUCCAACGCUCACAUCACGCUUUAAUGCGCUCGGUGCUACAUUACGCUAUUAAGGUGGACGGACAGCUGUAUAAAUAUGUGUCCAUACCCCCUAUAUGAAUUAAACACUCAUAUAGGGCUACUACGCUCGUGUCCAACACUCACGUCACACCAUAAUGUGGUUAUAUACUACGCCAUUGAGGUGGAUAGACACAUAUGGCUAGCAAGCAUUUAUAUAUAUACUCUCCUCAUAAAUACAUAUUUAUAUUCACCGAAAAUCCCAUUUUCGGUAACUCUCCAAGAGAAAUUAAAAUAGUUAAAAUUAAAAUGACGUCAAAUGCUCCAACAAAAUCAAUUGUUCAACCAUGAACCAUAGCAUGCAUAUUAUUUAAAACAAAAGUCCACUCACAACUCUAGGCAUAAGCUCGACGGAAUCCAAUUCGUCACUCCAGUGAGGUCUCCUCGAAUCCUGUCACAAUAACCAUGCUUAGGACCAAACUUCAAUUUCAGAAAAAGAAUACUUAAAUAUAAAACCCAAAACUCUUCCGCCUAACCCACUACCCUUUCUAGGGUUAAGCUUAUUAGAUUCAUGCCAAACUCCACCCACAACCUCAUUUCAUUUAUUUCAACAUUCUAAAACAAUAAUAAGGGAAAUCCAACGGUCUAAUUCUAUCCCAAUAAACGCUAAAUUCACCGAUCUUUGAAAAAUCCCGAACCUAUCUAAAACUCCUCCAAAAAUUCCAAACUUCACAUCAUUAAACUCCCCUUAAAAAAUCACAUUUAAAACCUUUAAAAUCCCCCUAACAGCAGCAGCGACCGGCGACCGACUCCGACAACCUCCAAUGCCUACCAAAAUUUGACAGCGUCUUCCUCUCAACCCAUUCUACAAUUUUCCUAACUAGCACAAACACCAAUUCCAAGCCUACAUAGGGCAAUCGAACCAAAACAUAAAAUGGAGCCCUAGAAUUUCAACUCACCGGUUCUCCUUACCUAUCCCAAGAGAGGGUGAAUCUUUUUAAGAGAUUGAAGCACGGGAGGAGGGCUUCCAAACAAGCCAAGCGGCUCCGGCUAUGGCGGCCGGAAGAAGGAGUUACGGCGACUGAAAGCUAUGGGCAGCCGGACCUUUCGGGCGUGGUUUCUCUCUCACGGCGGCUCUAAGGGGGUUGCCACCGGUCUAGGAAGGAGGCUGGGUUGGAGGCCGACCGAUUGGGACCGGAGCGGUGGUCAACGGUGGCCGGACGACGGCGGACGGGCGCCGGAAAAAUCCUGGCAGUGGGUGAGCUCGGGGAAAAAUCGAGAGGGAAGAGAGAGAAGUGAGGGAAAAGAGAGAGAAAAUGGUUUGGGCUUCCAAGCCGGCCAACCCACCUAAAACCCAACUCCAACAAUUUAACGCCCCAAAACAAUAAUACCCUAAUAAAAUUUACCUUUUACUAGCUAAAAUUUACCAUUUUUACCGUCGUCAUAUUUUUCUCCUACGUAAAUUCCUCCGAAACAAACGUCCCCAAAAAUCCCUCUAGGGACCAUUUAAACUCAAACUCAUUGACGAAGAUGGUAAAACUCUUAUUAAUACCAAGCUAGUAAAUAAGGUAAAAAUUUAAGAGUCGGGAUGUGACAAAACGCCUUCCACCGAAGCCAUGAACUCGCGUAUUCCUACUCCUAUCAACUUGUAAGAAGAUGGAGCACAUGCCAAUGAAGUGGAGCCAACUACAACAAGACAAGCACGACCUCAAGGACAAAAAGCUCAAAAGCUAACAAAGAAAAAAGGGCAAGCAACAAGAUGCGGAUGGCUUACGCAUUCAAAUGCAAAAGGCUCAAGAACAAAGUGAGCGUGAAUAUGUACAAAGGCAACAACAAUUUGAGCAAAUUAAACAACUUGAGCAACGCGGUUCGGAUGAUCGUAUUAUGAUGGUUGAUCUAUCAACGUUCGAUACUCCAAGAAAGAGGGGUUAUUGGGAAAGGAGACAACAAGAGAUAAUUAAUAGGGAGGAAGCAACCUCAAGCUCUCCAGUGAACCCUGAAGAUCAAGCCCCCACCGAGUAUCAAACACCAACCGAAGGAGACAACCGUAACUUGGCCAAUUAUGUUACGGUUCAUGAAUCAUUAAUUAGGAAGUAUCCAUUUAAUUUAUCUAAAUAAAUGUUGUUGUUUGUUUUUUUUUAAGUUAUGAAUAAAAAGUUAUUAUUUUUUAUGGCACAUGAUAACCAUUCAUAAAAGGCAAUCACUCAACAUAAAAACCUUUAACUUUUAUUGAAUAGCAAAAGCAAAUGCACACCACACAACACAAGAAAGCAAAAACAAAAGCUCUCUGCACACCACACCACACACCACACAACACAAGCAAAAACAAAGGCCAUGAGAAACCGGCAACUUAUUGAAAGCAAUAAAUUUAUAGCUCAUCACUGGUCAUUCUCAUCAGCUUGCAGCUUCAUGCUCCACAGGUGAUCAACUAGAUCAUCUUGGAGGUUUUUAUUCAUCAAUGGACAUCUUACCUCCCUAUAGCGAUGCAUGAAUUGAUUUAGCCGGUUCGGAUUGCGAUGAACAGAGGUGUCUUGAUCAGGGAUUCUGUCAUAUAUAUGUGCCUUUUUUGGUAUGGUGGGAAUGUCAUUCGGAUCAAAUGGCUCAGCUGCAUCUUCAUCAUGCUCAUCUUCAACAAUCAUAUUAUGCAAGAUAACGCAAGUCAUCAUGAUGAACUGAAGAUUCUCCUUACUCCAUCCACGAACUGGCCCUCUUAUGAUUGCCCAACGAGCUUGAAGAAUACCAAAAGCUCUCUCCACAUCUUUUCUGUAUGCUUCUUGCAUCCUUGUGAAAUGUUUUGUCUGUGAUGUCCUCGAGUUUUUGAUUGCUUGAACAAAUAUGGCCCAUUUUGGGUAAAUGCCUUCAACAAGGUAAUAACAUUGCCCAUAAUGCCUAUUUUGUACUUCAUAGCUCACCUGAGGAGUUUCACCACGAGACAUAUCGUUUAGGGAACCUGGAAGGCCGAAGAAGGCGUGCCAAAUCCAAGUAUCAUAGGAUGUCACUGCCUCGAAGAUGAUUGUUGGUUUCCCCUUAUAGCCAGUAUAUUGCCCUCCCCAUCUGGUGGGACAAUUUUUCCAUUGCCAGUGCAUCCAAUCGAGGCUCCCGAUCAUUCCCGGAAAUCCUCUUUCUGCUGCCUUGUCGAGAAGCCGUCGCAGAUCUGCCGGUGUUGGUCGGCGGAGGUAAUGCUCACCGUACACAUUCCAUAUUACUCUGAUGAAGUGUUCACUAGUAGAAAAAAAAGACUUAAGCGACAGGUACUUUCACGUUUCGUCGCUUAAGCAAAUUCUAAGCGACGAAAUAAAUAUCGUCGCUGGAAAUGCAUAUUUUGUCGCUACAAUUUUCUGGGGUGACGGAAUGUUUUUGUCACCUUAGUUUCAUUGCCACAGGUCCCACUAAGGAGACAAUAAGGUUUAUGUUGCAAACGGUUCAUGUAGCGACAAAAAUAUUACCACUUAAGCGACAAAAAUUUUGAUGAUCCAAAGGAGGGUGGGGGUUGGAAAGUUGUUAACAUUAUGUCACAUAGAGAUGAGUAUUGCAAAUAGAAAUUGAGAAUGUGACUCUUGAACCGUAUCAAGAAGCCUCAACGUCUAAUAUCCCCGACACGGAGACUAUUCGCAUCAACAACGACAUCGACUUCCAACCCCGUGAGUACGUUCCUAUUUUUAAUUUAGAGUUUGACUUCAGUUCACUUCCAUUCAUCCCAUGCCACCAACUGAGAACUUCAUUGACGAAGGAGUGGAAGACUCAGACGAUCAUUCAUAUGAAGUGAGUGAGGAUGACAGGGACUAUGAUGAUAGUGAUUGAAAACUCAUGAUGUGUUAAAACAUCAAAUUUUCGAUUUAAUUAUGUCAUGAAUUUAUUAUAUAUGUAAUAAAUUUAUUCUAUUAGAUGUGAUAUGUAUAAAUUUCUGAUUGAUUUAGUUUUAUACUUUACUAACAUUUUGAUGCAGCGGAAAUAUAAACGUAGGAAUCCACCAACGAUGAUUUGAAUCCACAAGUCUAGUUCUCUUGAAUCCACGAGAGGAAUUUUGGAAUUCACCAGAGAAUUGAGAUAAACUCAAGGUUUUUUAUUAAUAUGAAAGCUGACGACUACAAUUGAUAAAGACUCCUUAUAUAGGAGAAAAUAAACCCUGGGCAACUAACAUCAAAGCAUAAAAGCCCAUGGAUUAAUAGAAAACCAAAUCCAAAACAAACUAUUAAAAUUAAUGUCUGAAAAUAAGUAAAUAUGCAUUUUGAAGGCCUAAACAGACUCGGAUGGCCUAAAAAGCCCAUACGUCGUGGCAAAGCGACCAGUUUGGUUAGUUGGGCCAUUCCGCUUCCAGAAAGGUAUAAUAAUAGUCAAUCGGACACCGAACGCCAAAUCUGAAGCAAACUGGGUUUGGACUUGUUUCGACCGAUCUGCUCUUCAAUCUCUAUCGUCAUCUGUUCUAUAUCACAUUUUAUGAGUAUUAAUUAGCAGAAAGUGAAAUAUAAAUGGUUUUCCAACUUAAGCGACGAAUUUUAUCAUUUUCGUCGCUUUAAAAUGUAUAUUAUUUGGCUGAAAGUCAAAAUUUAAGUCACUUAAGCGACAAAAAAGAAACAAAUAGUCACUUAAGUCCCAAAUAUUUGGCGGGCUGCUUUUCAUUCCCAAAUUUUGGCCCAAAUUUAAACGAACUUAAGCAACAAAAGCUUUAAAUUGUUUUGUCGCUCAGUUGUCACUAUGUAUUGGGAAGAAGCGCGCACUUCUUGAUCUCAAUCCCUAACAUUGAAAAAAAAUCCCCAAAUCCCUUCACUCCCCGGCCUCUUCCUCCUUACCCGUCCCCAAAUCCUUCACUCCCCUCUUCCUCCUUACCUUACCGGUCGCCAAAUCCCUUCACUCCCCUCUUCCUCCUUACCAGUCCAAAUCCAUUUACUCCCCUCUUCAGCCCGAUUCCUAAGCCCGAUUCUUUCCUCCUCCACUGCUCACAAAACCUCGCCACAUCCUCCUCUCACUACCUAGAUGCCGCCGGUGACAGGACCCACCCCAAAUUUUACCCUAAAACCCGAGGUAAAUCCUGUGGGGUUCACUUCCAAAGAAAAUUUACCAAAAAUUCGGCAUAAUUUACCUUGAAAAUAGACAACCCUUACCUGAAAAAUCCAACUUAUACUUCUAUAAACAAACAAACCAGCUUCAACACCUGGAGCCUUCUUGCUCCUCAAGUUCAACACAUCUCCCAAAAAUACAACAAGCUCUAAUCAACUAAUAACUAUCUCAAAUGGUUAUCAGAGCAUAUCUAUAAUGAAAGAAAAACAAUGAAUAAAGAAUAAGCGGAAGCAGCCUCUGACUAUGCCUCGACUCCAUGUACGCUUGACCUCAAUUAAGCUUAACUGUCAAACUAGGCAUUUAAAACGAAAGGGCCCAUAGGAAAGUAAUUUAAAAACGUUAGAGUAAGUGGACGAAAAAUAAUCAAGUAACUGAUCGCAGAAUAACUAACCAAACUUAAUUACUUUCCCAUUUUCCAGUAAUCAAGAAAUCUGUGGCAUGCAAGUGUUAAUAAAACCUUCAUAAAGAAAAUCCCAAAAUAAUGGACUAGCUCCGCUAGUCAAGAACAACAUUAAAAGUAUAUAAAGAUCUUUGUAAAAUGAAACAUCGAAAAGAUGGACUAGCCUCGCUAGUCAAGACAAUAAAUAUUAAAUAAGAAGCAGCUAUAGCCAUACAAGUAAGCCUCCUAGGCUCGGGUGCCUGCCAGGCAAAAGUACUCCCAUACUCCCUACACCUUCACGUUAUGAUAAUAGAGAGGGUGCAGGGCUUGUGUGAUGUCGUCGACUACAUCACAUCACCCGAAGGCGGAAAGGGCUUGAGUAACCCCACUUAAAGCGUGGAAGCCACAUCGCCUCGAAAGGCGGAACAAUAUGCUAGCAUUAGUAAUAUAUUAUCCGACAAGUAUGGCAUAAAUAAAGAAACAUAUAUCCAUGUGAGUUUCCCCAAAACUCAUAAUUAAAGCAUAAGUACGAUUCCCAACCGUACUCAACGAUUCAAAGAGCAAAGAAAUUAUUUAAAUUUAACGAUGUGUCCCACACGUUAAAAUGCUCAAAGAAAUAAUUAACUUAAAUAAUUAUCAUCUUUCGAAAACCAGGCGAUAUGAAAAUCUGGAUACAAUCUCAAAUCCGGAAAUCAUAAAGAAUAUCAAAACUCAAAUACCAAAUCUCUAACCCAAGCUCAAAUCCAUAAGUUCAUUAUCGAAAAUAUAACCAAUAUGUCAAUCUCAAAUAAAUUCCAUAAAUCAUGGCAAAGAUUAAUCAAUGCAUCAAAAUAAAUAAAUUCAAAAACCAUUAUCUAAGCCGAAAUUACAAUUUAAGCUUGGAAAAUAUCAUGGGAAACUUAUAAAAUUAUGCAUGCAUAUUAAUUCAAAACCAAAAAUGUCCACUCACAGAUUUAGGCUUAAGCCUGACGAAACCCGAAUCGCCACUCAAGCGAGGUCCUCUCAUAUCCUGGCACAAUUACCAUACUUAGGACCAAACUUCAAUUUCAGAGAAUAAAUAUAUGAAUAAAAACAUCUAACUCUCUUCCGUUGAACCCACAACUCUUAAUAGGGUUAAACUCACCGGAUUCACACCAAACUCCACCACAACCUUAAUUCAUCAAUUCUAACAUUCUAUAAUAAAUACCAAGGAAAUCCAACGGCCGAAUUUUCAUUCUAAUAACAGGCAAAAUCCUUAAUCUUUUAAAAAUCCCAAACCUAAUCAAAAGUCCUCCAAAAAUUCCAAAGUACACUUCAUUAGACUCCUCUCAUUAUAACAAACCCAAAAACCUGAAAAACAACCUCCAAUUGGCGGCGCCGCCGCCUGCUCAGCCGAUGUCUAUUGCCUCCCAAAAUUUAACAAAAUAAUCCUCUCAUCAAGCACAACAACUUUCAUAACUAGCACUUAGUCCAAUUCUAAGCUUAACUAGGGUAAUCGAAUCAAAACAUCCAAAAAUCCCCCAAUUCAAACCCUAGCCCGAAAUUCCUCCUACACACUUCAAAUUGGAUCAUUACCUUCUAGGGAAAUGUUACACACGGAGAGCACUUCCAAAUGGGACUAAAAUCACCAGAGAUGGUGGCCGGAGGAGCGAGUUCCGGCGUAGAGACUCCACCACGCAGCCGGAGCUUCCGAGAGCUCUUCCUCCCUCAAAGCAGCGCUAGGGCGGCACCCACCGGUCAAAGAAGAGAGCUGGGUCGAUGGUCAACCGUUUGGGACCGGUGCGGCGGUCUCUGGUGGCCGAACGGCGGCGGACGACGCUGGAAAAGUUUCCGGCGGGGGAGAGAGCUCGGGGAAGGCUCGGGAGAGAGAGAGAGAGAAAGAGAAUGUGGGUGUUGGGCUUCUCCACACCCGGUCCAACACUUAAAACACCCACAAAAUAAAAACCAAUAAAAAUUUACCCCUUACCAACUAAUGUUUACCCUUUUAAUUAAUAACUUUGUCAUGCAAACUCCGAAUUUAACGCAUAGCAUGUCUACGACUUUCAUGCAGGAAGUUCUCCCAAAUUCCAAACGGAAGAAAAAGUCAACUUUUGGAGUCUUAAAAUAGUAUACGGUUACUUAAAACAGUAAAAGACCAAAAUAAUACAAAAGUAAAUAACCGUAAAACAACUUAAGAACCGGGGUGUGACAAUUCUCCCCUCCUUAUAAAAAUUUCGUCCUCGAAAUUUCAAAUCGUGCAAAGGGGUAGAGGUUACUUCUUUUCACCCCUGAAUCCAAUAAACGCUAGACUAAAUUGUCCCAUCAUCAAUGCUCUUCAAACUUUUUUUCUACCACAAAGUACCCCUUUCACUUGUGGAAGCAACUAACCAAAUUCUUUUCCACUUUCAUUAGCACAUCAAUAGCUUAUUUGCCAAACCCAAGGGGAGUACAUAUGCUUCAACAAAUCUCGAACUCAGGGUUAACUAAAAUACUCUGCCAACGUUCCACGUGGCACCGCUCACAAGAUAUAUUUUGCUCCUUGUCUUAUUUUCCACUAAUUGAAUAGCUUGCCUGAUCUUAAUUAUUAUGAUACACAACCCCAAAUCACACGAAUGACUUUGACUUUUGCCAAGUCAAUAUGGUCAAAAACUUUCUUAUUUCACAAACCAUCUUACUUUCGUUACCAACUAAUCAAGACAAAACUCAAUCGUUCACACCGAAAUUGGACCUUCACCACCUAUAUGGUUGGCGUCAAUCAUUAUGCUGAUUGGCGAAUAUUUCUCUUGUCGCCUAAUUAUGCUAUUGCGAUCUAUGUUACCAAACCCCUAUACUGAAUAUCUCUUGUAUCUCAAAUUAUAUCCAUACAACAAUGACCUCCCAGGUCCUACACGGAUCAAAAGUGGUCCCACCACAAUAUGAUCACGUAUGAAUACUCAUCACAAGAAAAACAUUUAACAUGACUGACCACUAUUUACUAUUUAUGCCAAUGAACUGACAAGCUUUAGCUAAAAAUAUUUCCCAAGUCAUCGAGAAUUUUUUUCCUUAAAGCUACACUGUCACAUCCCGACCCUUAAAUUUUUACCUUAUUUACUAGCUUGGUUAUAAUAAGAAUUUUACCGUCUCCGUCAUUGAGGAAAUAGUUUAAUCGGUCCCUAGAGGGGUUUCGGGGACGAUUAUAUGCGGAGGAUUAUUCGAAGGAGAAAAUUAUGACGACGGUAAAAAUGGUAAAAUUUUAGCUAGUAAAAGGUAAUUUUUAUUCAGGUAUUAUUUUUCGGGUUGUUUUAUUUUGGAAUUUGGUUGUAUAAGGGUGUGGACCGGGUCAAGAGGUGGUCAAAAGCCCAGCCCUCUCUUUUUCUCUCUCUCUCUCCCGGUUUUCCACCCGAGCCCCUCCCGCAGCCAGUAUUUCUUGCCGUUCGUCUGCCACCGUUCGGCCCCCAGCCGCCGCCGCUCCGGUCCCGUUCGGUUACCCUCCGACCCAGCUACAUCCCUGGACCGGUGACAGCCACCCUAACGCCGCCGUGAAGGAGUUCUCCCGCUUAGAACCUCGGGCUGCCCAAAGUCCUGCAUCGCCAGAACUCCCUCCUUGGGCCACCAAUCCGGGCAACCUUGGUAUGGUUUUGUAGGUCUCCAACCCAGCUGCCUUGCCCUAAAAGGACUCACUCCGGUUCGCUUCAGGUAAGGAGAAAUUUGAGGUGGAAGUUCUAGGGCGACUUGGAUGUUUUUGCUCGAUUGGCAUAGCUAGGCUUGGAUUUUGGGUUUGUGCUAGUUAGGAAAGUUGUAGAGUAUGAUGAGAGGAUUAUUCUGUCAAAAUUUCAUAGGAAUUGGAGGUCGCCGGAAUUGGAGGUCGCCGGAAUCGGCCUCCGGCCGCCGCUGUCGGCGGAGCCGGCGCCUGAGCUGUUUGGGAGAUUUUAAUGUUUUUAAAUGUGGAAUAUUAAGAGGAGUGUAUUGAUGUAAAUUAUGGAAUUUUCGGAUGAGUUUUGAAUAGGUUUGUGAUUUUCCAAAGUUUGGUAUUUUUGGCGGUAAAUUAAUGUAGAAUCCGGCCGUAGGAUUUAAGUCGUUCUGGGGAGAUUGUAAUUACGGCUGCCGUUUAUGGUAUUAAAGUUGGAUCGUUUCGUUUUAGGAAAGGUGAAGUUGGGCAAGGAUGACCGUGGUUGCGGCUCAUAUUUAAUUUUGCCUAUUUUGUUUUAAUAUUGGAUUUUAGUUGGGAAUUUAAUUAUAAAUUUGUGCCAGGGUUCGAGGACACCUCAUGGGAGUGGCGAUUUGGAUUUCGUCGGGCUUAUGCCUAGAGCUGUGAGUGGACUUUUGUUUUAAAUAAAAUGCAUGCUAUAGUUCAUAGAUGAACAUUUAAUGUUGUGGAGCAUUUUGACGUCAUUUUAUUUUGACGAUUUUAUUUCUCUUGGAGAGUCACCGAAAAUGUGGAUAUAAAUAUGUAUUUAUGAGAGAGUAUGUAUAUAAAUGCUAGCUAGCCCUAUGUGUCUGUCCACCUUAAUGGUGUGGCAUAUAGCCGCAUUAUAGUGUGACGUGAGCGUUGGACGCGAGCGUAGUAGCCCUAUAUGAGUGUUUAAUUCAUAUAGGGGGUAUGGGCACAUAUUUAUACACCCGUCUGUCCACCUUAAUGGCGUAGUGUAGCACCGCAUUAAAGCGUGACGUGAGCGUUGGACGUGAGCGUAGUAGCCCUAUAUAGACCCAUGAAUUUAUAUAGGGAGUAUGGACGUGUGUAAAUACAUACAUAUUUUAUAGAGCCUGAGAGGCUCGACAUUUAUGAGAUAAAAGUUUUAUCGCUUGCAGCAUGCAUUCGUUUUUCCUUGGAAAUUGAUUUGGGGAAACAUAAAUAUUUUAUUUGUUAAUUUAUUUUUGUCCACUCACUCUAACGUGUUUCAAAUGUUUUCCCCUGAGCCAUUCGUUUUAAAAAUGCCCAGCUUGCAGGUUAGCUUAGUCAAGGUUGAGCGUACAUGGAGAUGAGGCAUAGUCAUCAUAUAGCUUCCGCUUGUUAAUUUAUUAUGUUUUCUUUCUUCCUGUUAGAGUUGCUCUGAACCUAUAAAUGGUUGUAUAUGAGAUUUGUUUAGAUUAGUAAAUAAUUUGGGUGGUGUUGUGAUUUGGGAAGCACGGAGGCUCCAGGAGUUUAAGGUUGGAUUUAAAUUUUCAGAAGUGUUUGCAGGUAUUAUUAGGAAGGGUUGUCCAUUUUCAAGGGAGGUUAUGCCGAUUUUUCGGUAAAUUUUCCUUGGAGGUGGUCCCCGCACGACUUACUAUGGGUUUCAGGGUGAAAUUUGGGGUGGGUCGUGUCAUAUACCACCGGUGAUACACCCCGAACCUUGUGAUUAUUUUUAUAUUGUGAUUUCCGUUUUAGUGGUAGCUAAUCAAUUCGGAAAUUUAUUAUGUUAUCCUUAAUAGAGGUGGUUUAGUUGAGUUCAUAGAUUUUUAGUUACCCGAAUAAGAGUUUGUAAAUGAAGGGUAGUAAAAUAAUAACAGUACUCAUUUUUGGGCUUAGGCAUUUAAGGGAGACUUACCUUUUGGUUAAGGUAAAAAAUCAGAAAAUACACAUCCCUCACUCUUUCUCUCUCCCCGAGCCCGACCCUAACCCCGAACCGUCCGGCUUCUCCCCGACCGAUCGUCGCCGUCCGACCACGCCUGGCCGCCGCACGGGUCGCGUCUGGCAGCUGGGACACCGCUCGUCCAGCCUGGGGUGGUGACCGGUCCUUACUCGCCGGCAUUAAGGCGCGGUGACGCCGCUGCUGCCGCGUGGUUGCUCUUGCCGGAACUCCCUUCUCCGGCCACCGAUUGAAGGUAUCUUUGGGGGUUUUUGUAGCUCUUUGAUUAGUCUUUCAACCACCUAAAAGAGGUAGAACGAUUUGGAGUGUAGAGCAAACCGGAGCUCUUGAGUUCUUGAGUUUAUAAUGAGUUUUCCGGCCUAAUCUUUGAGCUCUAGAGUUUGUGUUAGUCAUGAUUGUUGUUAGGCUUGAUGAGAGGAAGAGAUUGAUGUAUGCCUUGUUAAUUUUGGUUGAAGUUGAUUUGGUGGUGGUGGUUGACCGCCACUACCGGCUGUUGACCGCCACUGCCGGUGAUUGCUGCCGGUUUUGGUGGUGGUUUUGAGUAAUUUUGAAUGGUUUCUAGAAGAGAUAAAUGUUGUUGUAUUGUAAGGUGAUUUUUGGUGAAGAGUGUUUAGUAAUUGGGAUAGUUUUGGUGGCUCCAUGGAUGAGAAAUGAGUGGUAAUGAGGUAUUGAAAAUUUUGGUAAAUGUUGGUAAGAAUUUGGGAAAUUUUUAAGUUGAUUUUGGUGAUAAGUAGAGGUGAGCCUCAUCCAUGGGAAUUUCCACAUUUAUGUUUAUGUGUUAGAACGUUGAGGAAAAAUUGGAGAAGAUUAGUUAAAAGGGUUGGAGUUCUUCUUAGUUUUUGGAGUGUAGAAUGAGGGAGGAUGGCGUUGCCCUAUUUUAUUAAAUUUGAUAUUCUUGUAUUUUUGUCUCAGAACUUAAAUCUCGUUUUGUACAGGACGAGAGGAGACACCACGUGAGGAGGGCUCUGACCGACGUCAGGCAUAGCCGUCUAUAUUGUGAGUGGACAUUUUGUUUUUAAUGAAAUAUGCAUGCAUGAUUGGAGAUUUGAAAUAUGUGGGUUAUCUGGCUUAAUUAUUACUUUGCGCAUUUUAACGUGUGGGACACAUUAUUAAAUUUAAUUUAUUUCUUUCUUAUGCUAUAUUUGUUGGAUUAUAUGAUGUCAAUGCUAGUAUGUCGUUCCACCUCUCAAGGUGAUGUGACUCCCACAUUUCAAGUGGGGUCACGCAAGCCCUUUCCACUCAAGUGGUGAUGUGAUGUUGCCGGCGGCAUCACGCAAGCCCUGUACUCUAUCCGUCCACUCAACGUGAAGGUACAGGGAGUAUGGGAGUACUAUGCCUGGGAGGCAACCGAGUCUGGGAGACUCAUUUAUAUGGCCAUAUAGGAUAUUCUAUUUGAGUUGUUAAUUUGACUAGAGGGGCUAGUCUAUUAUUUUGAAAGUUUCUUGAAUGAGAAAUCUAUUUAUUUUUCUUAUUGUUUUAUGACUAGCGGGGCUAGUGUGAAUUUUUGUUGAGUUUAUAAUAUUUGCAUGCAUGAAAAUUCUUGAAUUCUGUAUAAAUGGAAAAGCAUAUAAAAAUUUGAUUUAGUAUCUUUAUGCUCUUGGAUACUUAUUAAUUAGUUUAUCUUCGUCCACUCACGCUAACGUUUUNNNNNNNNNNNNNNNNNNNNUUUUGAAGGGUUAUGACCCAAGUAGGGAGUUUAACUUUGGUUGGAGUUUGUGUUUAAAUAUCGUAGUCGAAUAUUGGGUUUGAAUUGGUUAAGUGUUGUUAUGACUUGGAUUUUGUUGUGGGGAGCGAAGGACUCCAGGAGAUGUGGUUGUUUGAUAUAGUUGAAGUGUUCUUGGUUCUUUUCUUGCAGGUUGGGUUGUCCAUUUUUAGGGGAGAUUAUGCUGAAAUUUCGGUAUAAUCUCUUUUAAGAGUGGAUCCCGCAAGACUUGCCUGUUUUUCUAUGUGUUUUCGGGGCGGGUCUUGUCAACCAGCCAAUCAUAUUAUUAUUUCCAACAAUUCGCCCCGUGAAUUAAUCAUUACCAACCAAUAAUAACCAUCGGAAUCUCAUCCCUCAAUAAUAAAUUCAAUAGUCUCCACCACCAACGACUUACAAGCACAAGAAAAAUAUCACCCUCAAAAUCGAUCAACAUAUCCGAAACUGACACCUCCAAAAAUGAGGAAAAAUACGAUGACUUGGCGUAUAACGAUACUUUAGAAGUUACGAGUAUCUCCUCGUACGAACCAAGUUCGUUCAAACUUACAUGCAGACUAGUCUUUAGGUUAUAGUACCUAUUCCACGAAUAAGAAGAGAUGAGUUGUUCACUAUUUACAGCGACAAUUCACGUUGCUAUUACCGCAACACAUAUGUCUGCAAUUAUCACCUUCACCUUGAUAAUACCAGUUUAUCAAUGGAGGAAAAUCAAAAUAGUGAGUCUCACGCGAGUCAACGAAAUCUGAGGAUCACCAUUGGAAAUUCACUAAUUGAUGACUUACUUCUCACGUAUUAUCAUGUAUUAUAGUGACUACGUAUCAACUCAAGUCGAUGAACAAGAAUUUUUCUUAGGCGUAAUGUUAAGAAAAAUCGUUGUUGGGAUAUACUUCUGCAUAAUUAUGCGUUGCUAAAGAUGCCAAAGAUCACGAAAACCAACUCACGUUUCCUGAGUAAAGCUUUGCCCAUGAAUUCCUCGUUAUUGUUAACGAAUGUCGAAGUCCCAUAAAUGAAUCGUGCAAAUAACAGAUGCCAAAUUACGGAAAAUCCCGCAUUAACUCUAACGUCAACUCAAGUGUCAGCACAGCUAAUGUUGGCAAUUUAUCAUUCAACACUAGAUAGCCUUCUCUUGCUGCGCCCAUAUGAUGCAAAGUGAUUUUCUUUCUUCUAUUUGAUUGCUUGGUCCGACUAGCUUGAUCACGCAGGUCCAUAACGUCCAAGGAAGAUGAAAGCACAAAACUGGAAUCCAAUGCUCAAGUCGCCAAAACUGCUAAUGCCAAAGAUAAAUACUCCUCGUAGAAUGCCGAAUUGUACGAAUGCGUACAAAAAUCUAGAACACCUUUCUCGAUAAGAUAUGAUGAUCAGCAAUCCUGAGUUCAACCGCACCCUGCAAGGCCCGACUCUACAACUCAUGUCGAAAAUUUACUUAUAUCAAGAACAAGUCGGUCUUAGAACACCCCAGGACAUCGACGAUACUCAUCGAUUGCCACGCUGCUCUAGUAGUUACCUCAAAGAAUCUAGGGUCUAAAAACGCACUCUAACAACAAGUCACACUCUUCAUAUAAGUGAGACACCCCGAAUCAUCUCAGUUCAUAUGCUAACCCUCGAGCAACGCAGAAUUGACGGUCGCAUGCUCCUUCUUAAGACUGUGCGUCAACCACAUCAUCAUCUGCGUAAUGCUCAAGUGGCAGCAUGGGAUUGCUCCAACUUGAUAAAACCUCGACAACCACUUCAUGUCCGGACCAAUCAAUUUCACCACUGUAAUACUACAAUCAGAAGCUACAUUUGUGGGAAAGACUACCUCAAGAUCCACAUCUGACUCAUCCUCUUAAGAAUUAUUUGUAUCAGCUAAUAACAAUAGCUAAAGCGAAAAACAAUUAUUUCAAGAUCAAUAACCCCAAUUACACCGCUUAAACUAUCCUUGUGUAUCAUCAUACACAUUACCAAUCCAAAUUUAUCCCGACACUCUUCUCCUAACAAUCACUCGACUCUAUACCACGAUUUUCUAACCAAUCACCACUUCAAAUCUACAACUUCAACCUUGCUUACACCAAUGACUAAAGAUAUCGAAGAUUGAGAUUACCUUUAGACGAUAGAAGUUCAUCUAUAAUCUCCUGCCACAGUCGAAAUACCUAAAAGUUGAAACGAGUCGCUUCCAAACUCUAAUUUGUCCAAGGCUUACACCAAUUAACCCAAAACAAUGGCGCUUGAAAUAAAUAUGGUCACCCAUCUACGCAUCUCCAAUCAAUCUCUACAACUUUAGUCUCCAUAUUCAGAAUUGUUGUACAACUCUUUUUACCUAUUGACAAAACUGACAUCUACACACAAAAGCUGUACUUUCCCUCUUCUCCACUUCAAUCAUCUGACCACAAACAUAUUGCUUAAAACAAAAUAAAUUCAACAUCUCCACGCAACAGUCUCAGGUAACAAUUAAAAUACCCAAUGACUAAAUUCUACAUCUGUUGCCGUAAAGUCAAAGCAACCACAACCAUCAGGCAUCCGCUUUACCAUUGCAUUUCAAAGCCUCUUACACAUAAAAAAAACACUCAAUAUAAGUAAGAGGGCCAAUCCCACAUUACAGAUACCAACCCUAAAUAGGGGAAAUUUUUAAAUGCUACGGGAGGACCACGUGGUAGUCUGACGUGGUCCUACGUUCCAAUCAAAUUUAGACAUGUGGAUUUAUUACAACUAAAAUAUAAACAAAUAAUUUCUAUUUUUUAUGAAAUGACAUUCAUGGGUAUUUAGCAAGUUCAAACUAGGGUCUAGGGUAUAAGGUUUAAAGUUUAGGGUUUGGGUUUAGGGUAUAGGGUUUAGGGUUUGGAGUUUAGGGCUUAGGGUUUAGUAUUAAAAAACAACAGAAAACCUAAAAUGGUCUUUAACAAAAUAGCUGAAAUAAUUUUUCGUGAAGAAAAUCUACAUGUCUAAAUUUGAUUGAAAAGUAGAACCACGUCAGACUGCCACGUGGUCCUCUUGUAGCAUUGAAAAAUUUCUCCCUAAAUAGACCCAGAAACCAAACCUCAAUGCAUAAACUUCAGAAGAAAUGCAUAACAGCCCCACAUAACACAUCAAUUAAUCUCCACAAUUUAUUCGCUCAAGCAAUGGCUUUCCACAUUUUAUCUCAAAGCAAGACAACUUAACUCCCUAUGAUAUCUCUUAUCCCAAUACCAAUCUUAUCUAGAAAUUUCUCAAUCAUUCUCUAUCAUUAAUACCCACAUAAGAGCUCAACUUACAUCUUAAUCAUAGUCCAACAACUCAUUACGUAAAAGCAAAGGAACAUCAUAAAUACAUGCCACUUCCCAACUCAUAAUUGAUCUUAGAAUCUCGCAACCACAAUAAAGCAUAAAGGAAAGGUGCAUAUCACUUACCUUUCCAUUACUCGGAAAAUAACCAAGAUACCCUUUGAGGUCGGCGUACGGAGGCAUAGUCUUAAAGAUGUAGACAUUUAUGGCACAAUAUUGUCCAUAAAUAAGACAAAAACAACUACCUCACAUACCUAAUAAACACCUAGCAUCUGAUGCAUAUAAUGUUAAAGGAUCUGCCGCGGUCAGACCAUCACUCUAUAGACACUAACUAUCACCAAGUAUAUGAGGUAGUGAUAGGAAUCGGAUAGCCUAAGCUCUGAUACCAACUGACAGGACCCACCCCGAAUUUCACCCUGAAACCCGAGGUAAAUCCUGUGGGGUCCACUUCCAAAGAAAAUUUACUGAAAAUUCGGCAUAAUCUACCUUGAAAAUGGACAACCCUUACCUGAAAAAUCCAACUUACACUUCUAUAAACAAACAAACCAGCUUCAACACCUGGAGCCUUCCUGCUCCUCAAGUUCAACACAUCUCCCAAAAAUACAACAAGCCUUAAUCAACUAAUAACUAUCUCAAAUGGUUAUCAGAGCAUAUCUAUAAUGAAAGAAAAACAAUGAAUAAAGAAUAAGCGGAAGCAGCCUCUGACUAUGCCUCGACUCCAUGUACGCUCGACCUCAAUUAAGCUUAGCCGGCAAACUGGGCAUUUAAAACGAAAGGACCCAUGGGAAAGUAAUUUAAAAACGUUAGAGUCAGUGGACGAAAAAUAAUCAAGUAACUGAUCGUAGAAUAACUAACCAAACUUAAUUACUUUCCCAUUUUCCAGUAAUCAAGAAAUCUGUGGCAUGCAAGUGUUGAUAAAACCUUCAUAAAUAAAAUCCCAAAAUAAUGGACUAGCCCCGCUAGUCAAGAACAACAUUAAAAGUAUAUAAAGAUCUUUGUAAAAUGAAAUAUCGAAAAGAUGGACUAGCCUUGCUAGUCAAGACAAUAAAUAUUAAAUAAGAAGCAGCUAUAGCCAUACAAGUGAGCCUCUUAGGCUCGGGUGCCUGCCAGGCAAAAGUACUCCCAUACUCCCUACACCUUCACGUUAUGAUAAUAGAGAGGGUGCAGGGCUUGUGUGAUGUCGUCGACUACAUCACAUCACCCGAAGGCGGAAAGGGCUUGAGUAACCCCACUUAAAGCGUGGAAACCACAUCGCCUCGAAAGGCAGAACAAUAUGCUAGCAUUACACUACCAAGACAAGCACUUUAGCCGACGAAAAAUUUUCGUCGGCCUGUUAGCUUAAUUCGUUGGCUAAGAUUUCGUUGGCUAAAGUGUGAUAACUUUAGCCGACGAAAAAAAAAAUUUCGUCGGCUAUAGUCCCGCAGUUUAGCCGACGAAAAACAUGUCGUCGGUUUUUUUCCCAGACUUUAGUCGACGAAACAAUUAAGAUAUUCGUCGGCUAAAGUCUGUAAUAAAAAAUUUUUUCCCAGACUAUAGCCGACGAAAUAUAGUAUGUUUCGUCGGCUAAACCUUAUAAAAAAAUUUAAAAAAAUAACUAUAGCCGAAGAAAUAUAGUUUGUUUGGUCGGCUAAACCUUAUAAAAAAUUUUAAAAAAUAACUAUAGCCGACGAAAUAUGCCAUAAUUCGUCGGCUAAACCUUAUAAAAAAAUUUAAAAANNNNNNNNNNNNNNNNNNNNNNNNNNNNNNNNNNNNNNNNNNNNNNNNNNNNNNNNNNNNNNNNNNNNNNNNNNNNNNNNNNNNNNNNNNNNNNNNNNNNNNNNNNNNNNNNNNNNNNNNNNNNNNNNNNNNNNNNNNNNNNNNNNNNNNNNNNNNNNNNNNNNNNNNNNNNNNNNNNNNNNNNNNNNNNNNNNNNNNNNNNNNNNNNNNNNNNNNNNNNNNNNNNNNNNNNNNNNNNNNNNNNNNNNNNNNNNNNNNNNNNNNNUUACGUGAUUUUCGAACCAUAGCCGUAUUUCACUAUUCUGAACACAUCUUAUUUCUACGAGAUUUUUUGAUAAUUUUGCUUCCUAUAUAGAGUUUGUUCACAAAGUUGUAUAACCUACUAAACAAGUUAUACAACAUUAGUAGACACGUUGUGAUUCCGAUGACUAAAAUUCACAAACCAAAAUUCGACCGUCAGAUAUGAUCAUUAUGACGUAAGAUGUCUAUGGUAAAAAUUCAACUGGAUCCGACAACGUUAAGGACUCGAUCGAAAUGGGUAACCUUAAUCCAUCGUCACUUAUCACACGAAAACGCUCAUAUCUCCCUCUAUAUUACGUGGUUUGGUCAAACCUUCCACACAAAAAACUCUCACGUAGAUGAGACGCAACUGCCCAUAUAAAAAUUUUGAGACAUUUACCUUCUGACGAUAGGGCUCCACAUAGGGAAUAAUAACGGUAAAUAGUAGAUACGUGAUUCCGAUGACUAAAAUUUAGAAACCAAAAUUCGACCGUCCGAUAUGAUCAUUAUGACGAAAGAUUUCUAUGGUAAAAAAUUCAACUGGAUUUGACAACGUUAAGGGCUCGAUCGAAACGGUUAACUCUAAUCGGAAAUAAGAAAACUGCAUUUUGAAGCCCUAAACGGACUCAGAUGGCCAAAAAGGCCCAUACAUCAUGGCAUUAGCGAUGAGUUUGACUUGUAGGGCUGUUACGCUUCCCGAAAGGUAUCACAAUAGUCAAUCGGACACCAAAAACCAAAUCUGCAGCAUAGUGAAUAAUAAGGGUAAAUUGCAUUGACCGCAACUAUCGCAACCGAGACUUAACCGGAAUACCGUGAUUUUUCAACCGUGGAUGUAUUUCACCAUUUUGGUCAUAUCUUAUUUCACGACUUUUUUACGUUUGAAGGUUCUACGUAUAUUUUUUUUUUCCCAGAUGAGUUGUUGUCCAAAUCUGCAAAUAUAAGGCACUUUAGCCGACGAAAUUAAGGCACUUUAGCCGACGAAAUUAUAUUUUUCAUCGGCUAAACUUUUAAAAAUUUCGUCGGCUAAAGUUCACAGACUAUAGCCGACGAAAAAAAUUAUUCAGACGAUGAAAUUUUAAUUUCGUCGGCUAAAGUUAACCAUAGCCGACGAAAAUUUUUAAUUAGCCGACGAAGGGAAAUUUCGUCGGCUAAAGUGAAAAUUUUUAAUUAGCCGACGAAAAAAUAAUUCGUCGGCCUGGUUUUUUUAUUUUCGUCGGCUAAAGUCUUUCUUCUGGUAGUGUUAGUAAUAUAUUAUCCAACAAGUAUGGCAUAAAUAAAGAAACAUAUAUCCAUGUGAGUUUCCCCAAAACUCAUAAUUAAAGCAUAAGUACAAUUCCCAACCGUGCUCAAAGAUUCAAAGAGCAAAGAAAUUAUUUAAAUUCAACGAUGUGUCCCACACGUUAAAAUGCUCAAAGAAAUAAUUAACUUAAAUAAUUAUCAACUUUCGAAAACCAGGCGAUAUGCAAAUCUGGAUACAAUCUCAAAUCCGGAAAUCAUAAAGAAUAUCAAAACUCAAAUACCAAAUCUCUAACCCAAGCUCAAAUCCAUAAGUUCAUUAUCGAAAAUAUAACCAACAUGUCAAUCUCAAAUAAAUUCCAUAAAUCAUGGCAAAGAUUAAGCAAUGCAUCAAAAUCAAAUAAAUUCAAAAACCAUUCUCUAAGCCGAAAUUACAAUUUAAGCUUGAAAAAUAUCAUGGGCAACUUAUAAAAUUAUGCAUGCAUAUUAAUUCAAAACCAAAAAUGUCCACUCACAGAUUCAGGCCUAAGCCUGACGAAACCCGAAUCGCCACUCAAGCAAAGUCCUCUCAUAUCCUAGCACAAUAACCAUACUUAGGUACAAACUUCAAUUUCAGAAAAUAAAUAUGUGGAUAAAAACAUCUAACUCUCUUCCGUUGAACCCACUACUCUUAAUAGGGUUAAACUCGCCGGAUUCACACCAAACUCCACCACAACCUUAAUUCAUCAGUUCUAACAUUCUAUAAUAAAAACCAUGGAGAUCAAACGGCCCGAUUUUCAUUCUAAUAACCGGUAAAAUCCUUAAUCUUUUAAAAAUCCCAAACCUUAUCAAAACUCCUCAAAAAAUUCCAAACUAUAUUUCAUUAGACUCCUCUCAUUAUAACAAACCCAAAAACUUGAAAAACAACCUCCAAGUGGCGGCGCCGCCGCCUGCUUCGCCGGUAGCCAUACUCCGGCGACGUCCAUUGCCUUCUAAAAUUUAACAGAAUAAUCCUCUCAUCAAGCACAACAACUUUCAUAACUAGCACUUAGUCCAAUUCUAAGCUUAACUAGGGUAAUCGAAUCAAAACAUCCAAAAAAUCCCCAACUCAAACCUAAGCCCGAAAAUCCUCCUACACACUUCGAAUUGGAUCAUUACCUUCUAGGGAAAUGUUACACAGGGAGAGCACUUCCAAAUGGGACUGAAAUCACCGGAGAUGGUGGCCGGAGGAGCGAGUUCCGGCGUCGGGACUCCACCACGCAGCCGGAGCUUCCGAGAGCUCUUCCUCCCUCACGGUGGCACUAGGGCGGCUCCCACUGGUCCAAGCAGAGAGCUGGGUCGACGGCCGACCGUUUGGGACCGGUGCGGUGGUCUCUGGUGGCCGGACGGCGGCGAAAGACGCUGGGAAAGUUUCCGGCGGGAGAGAGAGCUCGGGAGAGAGAGAGAGAAAGAGAAUGUGGGUUUUGGGCUUCUCCACACCUGGUCCAACACUUAAAACACCCACAAAAUAAAACCCAAUAAAAAUUUACCCCUUACCAACUAAUGUUUACCCUUUUAAUUUAUAACUUUGUCAUGCAAACUCCAAAUUUAAAGCAUAGCAUGUCUACGAACUCGUAUUAACGUCCUCUACGACUUUCAUGAAGGAAGUUUUCCCAAAUUCCAAAAGGAAGAAAAAAGUCAACUUUUGGAGUCUUAAUAGUAAACGGUUACUUAAAACGGUAAAAGACCAAAAUAAUACCAAAGUAAAUAACCGUAAAAUAACUUAAGAACCGGGGUGUGACAGCCGACGCUUGGGAAAAGGAAAGCUCGGGAGGAGGCGGAGGAGCGUCUGCGAAUGGAGUGUGCGCAACAAUACGGCUCCUCUUCUGCUGGAUCCAACCAAGCCACUACGAGUACCGCGCCUGCAGGAUCCCUUGCUUCGUCGGCUCCCCCUCUAACCGACGACGAUGACAAGUUAACGACCCAAGUAGCAGAAACACCGGCUGAGGAUGCACCUAGGGUUUUCAGCGCUCGCCGGAAACCGAAGAAAACCGGAGGACUUCCCCAGAAAGGCAAUCGGGGUGUGGUGAACAACGCAAAGGUGAUUGAUAUUGUGAAAAGCACAGGGAAGAUGAUCGACUUGGAUUUUGAUUGGGAAGUUAUUGACGGACCUUCUAAUUCUGAUGUAUGCAGUCUCUUUGUCAAUAGUCUUGGAAGCAUCAUACGAAAAAGAGUGGCAAUGAAGAAGGAAUCGUGGUAUGAUUUAGACAAGGAGGAGAGGAAGAAGCUUUUUGACGGUCUCACUGUAAGUUAACUCAUAACUUUCAGUUCUUUUUGUUGGUAUUUUGAUUCCCUGCUUCAUUGCAACUUAAUUAUAACUUGUUUUGUCUUGCAGUGUUUUUUUAUCAUUGAUUUUAAUGAUAUAAAAGCCAUUAAAUGAAUCAAUAAAAGGGCGGCAAGUGUAUUCCGUGAAUGGAAGCACGACUUGUCCGAGAUUCACAAGCUCGGGGGGAGAGAUGUGAUUCUGGAAGAGCUUUUGCACAGGUGGGAUGAGUGGGAGUGGCUUUGCACGCAUUUUGAUUCGGACAAGUACAAGGUAUAUCAGUUUUGGUUAUGAUUAUGUGGUAUAUAGGUAUCUUAGUUUGAAUUGUAUGAGUUUUGGUUACUGCAUACAGUUGGGAAUUUGGAUUAAAAUUGGAUAUGAUUGUUGAGUUUUGGCCUUGUGUUUGUGGCAAUGAAGUUGGUACUUUGAAUUGUAUGAGUGGUAUGAAUUGAAGAAAAUAGUGUACACCUUGUUUUGAUUAUAUUCUUUAAGGAUGCAGCAAAAUGUUGUGAUUGGUGUUAUAUUGUUAAUUUGCCGUGUAUAUCAAUUCAUGACUUCUCUGUUUAUUGACUUGUCCUCACUUAGCAUUAUAAGAAAUUGAGUUUUAACUUUUAUUGUCAGGACCCACCCCGAAUUUCAUUCUGAAACCCGAAGUAAAUCCUGCGAGGACUACCUCCAAGGAAAGUUUACCGAAAAAUCGGCAUAACCUCCCUUGAAAAUGGACAACCUUUCCUAAUAAAAAUACCUGCAUACACUUCAAAAGAAUCCAUCUAUAACCCUCUCCUCCUGGAGCCUUCGUGCUCCCCAAAUCACAACAUCUCCCAAUUUAUUUACUCACUUUAAUAAGAAAAACUCACAACCAACAAUUACAGGUUCAGAACAAUUCUAUUUGAGAGGAAAUGAAUUAGAAAUAUAAAAAUGAGCGGAAGCUAUACUAAUGACUAUGCCUCUUCUCCAUGUACGCCCGACCUCAACAAAGCUAACCUGCAUACUGGGCAUUUUUAAAACGAAGGGCCCAGGGGAAAACAUUUGCAAACGUUAGAGUGAGUGGAAAAAAUGAAUUUAAUGAAAAUAUUUAUGCUUUCCCAAUUUAUAUUUCCAUAGAAAUUAUGCUGCAUGCGACAGCUCAAAAGCUCAACUCAUAAACUGGCAAUUUCAUGAUUAGCUCCGGCUAGUCACCAAAUUUAAUAAAAUGAAGCCUCUCAGGCUAAAGUAACAUGUAUAAAUAUGUAUGUAUUUACACUCGUCAUAUUCCUUGUAUGAAUUUUCUUGAAACAACAAAUAGAGAUAGAAAUUCACACAAGGCUACGACGCUUGCGUCUAACGCUCACGUCGCGCCAUAAUGGAAUUUUACCUCAUUAAGGCGGAAAAUACGGUGUUUAUAUACGCGCAUAUCCCCUAUAUAAAUUCUUAUAUUUAUAUAGGGCUACGACGAUUGCGUCUAACGCUCACGUCGCGCCAUAAUGGAAUUUUACCUUAUUAGGACGGAAAAGCACAUAUAGCUAGCUAGCAUUUAUUUAUAUGCAUACUAUCCUCAUAAUAUCCACAUACAUAUCCACUAAAAAUUUUAUUUUUGGUAACUUCCAAAAUAAUGAAAAUUGCCAAUUAUAAAAGAAGUAAUAAAUAUAUGACUCCACUAAAAAUCUCAUUUUCGGUAACUUUUCAAAUAGCGAAGUUAACAAAUAAAAUAAGAGCAUUUACUUCCAAAAAAAUAACUUCGCGAAAAUAAACAAUUCCACAAAUUGAUAUUCAUCAAUAAAACAUUUGCAUGCACAUCAUUUAAAACAAAAGUCCACUCACAACUUUAGGCAUACGCCCGACGAAAUCCAAUUCGCCACUCAAGUGAGGUCUCCUCAAAUCUUGGCACAAAAACCAUGCUUAGGACCACACUUCAAUUUCAGAAUAAAUAAUACUUAAAUAUAUAACCCAAAACUCUUCCGCCUAACCCACUACCCUUUCUAGGGUUAAGCUUAUCGGAUUCACGCCAAAAUCCAACCACAGCCUUAUUUCCUUUAUAUCAACAUUCUAAAACAAUAAUAAAGAAAAUCUAACGGUCGGAUUCUACCUCAUUAACCGCCAAAUUCACCAAUCUAUCAAAAAUCUCAAACCUAUCCAAAACUCCUCCAAAAAUUCCAUACUUCACAUCAUUAAACUCUCCUAAAUAUUAUACAUUAAAACCAUGAAAAUCCCUCUAACAGCGGCGGCCGGCGGCCGACUCCGGCAACCCCAAUGCCUACCAAAAUUUAACAGCAUCUUUCUCUCAACCCCUUCUACAACUUUCCUAACUAGCACAAACACAAAUUCCAAGCCUAGAUAGGGUAAUAAUGAGCCCUAGAAUUUCCAACACCAAAAUCUCCUUACCUAGACCAAGGGGGAGGGAAGCCUUUGGAGGGAUUGAUGCACGGGAGGCCAAGAAUCGCCGGCUAUGGCGGCCGGAGGAGGGAGUUCCGGCGAAUGGAGCAACCGGCUGCUAGGGGAGUUUCCUCCCUGUUCGGUGGUGUAACCAGCCCGGUCACCAGCCUAAGCGAGGAGAGGAGCCAGCGGCGAUCCAAACGGGACCGGUGCGGCAGCCUGGCUUGGCCGGACGACGUUGGUCGGAGCCGGAGCCAAUCCGGCAGAGUGGGGGAGAGAAGAGAGAAGGGAGAGAGAGAAAUGGUUUUGGGCUUCUAAUCCCAACCGGUCUAACACCACCAAAUAAAACCCAAUUCCAAAAAAAUUAACACCCUAAAAAUAAUACCCUAAUAAAAAUUACGUUUUACUAGCUAAAAUUUACCAUUUUUACCGUCAUCACAUUUUUUAUCCUACAAAUAAUUCCUCCGAAAUAAUCGUCCCUCAAUACCCCUCUAGGGACCAAUUAAACCAUGACUCAUUGACGGAGACGGUAAAAUUCUUAUUAAUACCAAGCUAGUAAAUAAGGUAAAAAUUUAAGGGUCGGGAUGUGACAUUUAUCAUCAUAGAGUUGUUUCCUUUUCCAUAGGUAAGCUUAUCUUCUUUGAGUCUGCAAUUUGUAGUGUGUGAACUAUGAAGCGGACUUCAUAAACCUGUUUUGCUAGAGUUUAGGUUUGUACCUGAAAAUGUAUACGAACUGUUUGGAAUAAAUUUACAUUCUUUCUUUUUUUUUUUAGCUGAAAUGUACAUUGUGAUUGUAUGCCAUGCACCUUUGCUUGGGUGGAAAUCUCUCCUUUUUUUUAAGUUUGUUUAAAUAAAUUGAUGGAACACUUUUAGGCCUUACAACUCUUUUUCUCUCUUUGACUACGUCGCCAUAUAGACUGUAGAUUGUAUGAGCUUACAUUUUCGCAAUCCUCCUUUAAUCUGCUAUGAAAGUAAUCAUGAUAUUAGUUAGAUUUUCUUCUUCUGAAUAAAGAUGUUAGUAGUAAGCUUGACAUGUACAUCCGUUGGUUUGUCCAGCAUCUCAACUCUUGCAAAUAAUGAUAUAAUGGAUGUUAGUCGUAGGGAUGGCAAUGGGUAGGGUAGGGUACGGGGAUCAAAAUACCGUACCCAUACCUUUUUACAUUUUUCAUCCCCGUACCCGUCCCCGUACCCGUAAUUAGAUAAUGGAGAUUCCCCGUACCCGUACCCUUUGGGGAUUACGUUUCCAUACCCGUACCCGUACCCGUUAACAAUUAUGUAUUAAAUUAAAUUUUUUUUUUUAAAUACGAAAUACAAUUAUAUAAAAGUAUGAAAUUAAAAUCAAAUACCAAAAUAAAUAAAUUUCAUACUUCAAUCCAAUAAAAAUAAAUACAAGUCUUGGUUAAAACAUAACAAUACCGGUAAAUUUCAUUAAGAGAAUAAAAAUAUAUAAUAAAAAGGAAGGUCCAUUAAAUGUUUAUUAAGAGAAUUACAAAUUUUUUUACAUAAAUAUUUAUUUAUAAAUUAUAUAUAAAUAUAUAUAAUAAUAAAUUAUAUAAUUAUAUAUAAUAAUAUUUUCAUCCUUAAUGGGUGGGGAUGGGGACGAAUAUCAAAAUACCAUACCCGCCCCGUACCCGAUUUAAGAAUCCGAAUACUAAGGAUCCCCAUCCCCGUUACCCGUUUAUACCCGUAUAUCUUCCCCGUUAGGGUCGAAUACCCGUGGGUACCCUACCCGCUGGGGAUUAUUGCCAUCCCUAGUUAGUCGUCGAGUGCAGCUGCAUUCUUAAAAGAGAAAAAAAGUUUUUGUUGGUUUUUUUUUUAAAAAAAAAAGGCUAACAGAUACCAUAUGUUGAGAUGAUAGAAUCGGAAGAUGAGUUUAAUAUGAACUAUUGCUUUACUUUCUGUGUUUCUUCGGGGAGUGAAAUUUGUAGGAUUAAUUCUUUCUUAUCCACACAAGGAUGUUAGAUCAAUUGUGGACAUAUCACGUAUAUUAUGAUAUCAUGCUAAUGUCAUAACUUAUUUCUACAUGGAAACAAAGACAGUAUCAAUACUAGUUCCUAAUGAUAUCGUGUAUUAUAUCAUUAUGGUAAGGAAUCCUAUACUAAGUCUAGAAGCAAGACUACAUAUCAGUAUUAUAAGGAAUCUUAAUGAGAUGACUUGAUCCGCAAGGACUCCUUAAUGGAAGGAACCUUAAGGGUUAAUUGAUUCUCUAUAUAUAGAUGGUAAAGGUCCCUGUUAUCACUACUCACGACUCGUCGAUAUUGCAUACGGUUUCUGUCCAUUGAGAAAGCAGAGAGUAGUGACUAACAGAAGACCUUGCUGAACACCUCGCGUUCGCCGCAUCAAGACGUAGUAUGGGAUACGAAGGAGUUGCUAUUUGCGAUGAUGGUAAGUUCUUAUUCAUUACAGUAAACGAUUAACAGAUAAUAGUUAUGCAUAUGAUAUCCGGUAUUUAUGCUCAUAACCAUGUAAUUUGUUUUACAUAUGAUAUCCGGUAUUUAUGCUCAUGACCAUGUAAUUUGUUUUACAUAUGGUAUUAGAGCGGUCAAGAGCAUAAAAAUUUCAGUUUUGCAUAACUAAAUCGUUUUAAAGUUUUAACAAAACAAAACCAAAAGAUAUUUGCUUUAAGAUAAAACCAGUUGCAAUGCGUAGAUCCUUCUCGACCCAAAACCAAACUAAAGAGAACCAUUCGCCGGGUUACAGAAACCAGUUCGCGGGUUACAGAGACCCGUUCGCGGGGAUAAAGAACACGUUCGCCGGCGAAUAGUUUGGUUACAGAUUAAGGGGAGAGAUUGAUCGGAAGCGCAGGAGACUUUUAUGUCUCUUAAGGGAUUCAAAACCCAAAUUGCUACGAAUUAAAGGAAAACCAAAAGGAAUUCGCUGCUGUUUAUAAAAACUAUUUUUCGCUUCUGCUCAAAACCAGCAGCAAAAUUGGGGAAAAAAGCAAAAACAGGUUUUUAUAAAAGUUUUUCCGAUUUCAAUUCAAGCAUGUUAUAUGUAGUAUAUAUAUAUGAUUAUGCAUAAGAACCCUAGAGCACACCCAGCGUGCAUAUAAGAGUAGAUUAAGGACUUGGUUUGUGAUGCUGUGUGGUUCCUGUAUGGCUGGAAAUUUAAAUUUCUAUAUACGCAUGCUCUACGGAUUGAAUUGAAUGAUUGCAUUCUAUGUGUGUACUGUAAUUAAUAGACGAUGUAUGAUGAAGUAUGAAAUCUCCCAGGUUUAUACAUUGUAAAAGAAAAUAAUUUUUGCAGACACAGAGCUUAGUUUUCUUAUAAAGAUUAUCUGGAUAGAAAAACAAGUUUCAAGCUCGAUUAGUUUGUGAUUCUCUGUUGGUAUAAUUGAACAUAUUGCCAUAGCAUUCUUCCUUUAUAUCUGCAGUGAAUUAUCAAGAAAACAAACUAAAGUUGUGGACUGUGUUUUAAAUUCAUGUUUCGUUCUUCCAUAGAAGUGGUCAAAACAUGCUUUUAGAACACAGACAACAAUAAGCAUAUUUGAUAAAAAUAAAUUCGGAUACUUUGAAUUAAUCAUCUGCCCAUAGGUGUUGAUUUAAUUCUUUGGAUAACAUGUUUUUAUCUUGUGUGGCUUAUUGAAAAGAACUAAGGAAUGUUAAGCAUCUGCCCAUAGGUGUUGCUUAAUAUUGAUUUUAAAAGUUAUGGACUGAAAUAUAUGCAAGUAUAUUACUGUAUUGUUUUAUGGAAAUUUUUGUUUUAAAACACUGAAAACUUAAAGAACUCAUAAAAUUUUCUUCUGCUCCUUAGGUAGCACCUACCUCACCUUCAAUAGUGUACUAAUGCUUACUGGAUCAAACUUUAGAGCUUGGAGGGACUCUGUUGAAACCUAUAUCACCUUUAAUGACAAGAUAGGAUUUUGUUUUCAAGAGGAAAAACCUAAAACCCUAGCAGAAGAUGAUAAAGCCUCAGUACAAACCAACCAUAAGAAGUGGAUGCACUCGAACAUGAUGGCGAAGAAUGUGAUUAGGCAGUCUAUGUCUAAGAACAUUCGUGGAUGUGUAGCUAAGCCGGAAUUAGCUUCUGAUUUUCUGGAGGCAGUGUCAGCUAAGUUUAAGGAGAGUGAAAAGGCUGAGACAGCUAGGCUGAACAAGGAAUAUCAUAGCAUGCAGUACUCAGGAACCGGAGGGGUCAGGGAGCAUUUAUUGAAGUUGAUUCACAUCAACAAUAGGCUUACAGAGAUGAUGGUGGGAGUACAAGAAUCCUUGUUGGUGCAUCAUGCACUCAACACACUCCCAAGCAGUUUCAGAACAAGCUACAAUGCUCAAAAGGAAAACUGGACUCUAGAUGAACUCAUAGCCAUAUGUUCUGAUGAGGAGGAGAGGAUCAAGAAACAAACCCCAACCAUUUACUUGCUUGAAAAGCCUAAAAAGAAGAAGACACAGUCACAGAAUAAGCUUAAGCCUACCAAAACCAUUACCANNNNNNNNNNNNNNNNNNNNNNNNNNNNNNNNNNNNNNNNNNNNNNNNNNNNNNNNNNNNNNNNNNNNNNNNNNNNNNNNNNNNNNNNNNNNNNNNNNNNNNNNNNNNNNNNNUACCUUCCAUGCGAAGGAAUUUAAUUUCAGUUUCUCAAAUGGUUAAAGCCGGUUGUAAACUUUUCAUUAAUAAUAAAGGAAUUGUUAUUUCUCGAAAUAAUGAGCAUCUUGGUUCUGGUGUGAUAUUGGAUGAUUAUUUAAAAUUAGAAUGUUCAAUGUCUCAGCAAGAGAUCUCUCUUGUUGAAACAGACAACACUAAAAGUACUAACACCUUAACUGGUGUUAAGAGAACCAGGAACAAUGAAAAUUCUGCAUAUUUGUGGCAUAGAAGAUUAGGCCAUGUGUCUAAAGAGAGACUGAAAUUAUUAGUGAAAAAUAAUAUCCUUAACGAAUUAGAUUUUUCAGACUUACAUGACUGUGUUGAAUGCUUUAAGGGUAAGAUGACAAACAAACGGAAAAAGACUGCAGUAAGAAGUAAAGAACUACUGGAACUCAUACACACUGAUAUUUGUGGUCCAUUUAAACAUCAAACUAUCUGUGGAAAUGUACAUUUUAUUACGUUUAUUGAUGAUUUCUCUAGAUACGGAUAUGUUUCUCUACUCUCAGAAAAGUCGCAGGCACUUGCUGCUUUUCAAAUUUAUAAAGCUGAGGUAGAGAAUCAACUAGAGAGAAAAAUCAAAACAGUAAGAUCAGAUAGAGGUGGGGAAUUUUAUGGAAGAUACACUGAAAAGGGUCAACAGAAGGGUCCUUUUGCCUUGUUUUUACAAGAGCAUGGAAUUAAGGCCCAGUACACAACACCAUAUAAUCCACAGCAAAAUGGAGUUGCUGAACGAAAGAAUAGAACUCUUCUCAAUAUGGUCAGAUGUAUGAUGUGUACUACUGGAUUACCAAAAUUCUUAUGGGGAGAGGUUUUAAAAACAGCAAAUUAUAUUUGCAACAAAACACCAAGUAAAGCCAUCAAGAAAACUUCUUUCGAAUUGUGGUAUGGUAGAAAACCAAGUCUUUUCCAUUGUCAUGUAUGGGGCUGUCAAGCAGAAGCUCGGAUUUAUAAUCCAAAGAUGAGCAAGCUUGAUGAAAAGUCUGUUAGCUGCUAUUUCAUAGGUUAUCCAGAUAAAUUUUAAAGGCUACAAGUUAUAUUCUGCUAAACACUCACCCAGAAUUUUUGAAACUCAUCAAGUAAAAUUCUUAAAUGAGAAAAUUCACAAUACAAUUUAUGAGGAUUUAUCCUUAGAUUUUGAAGAAAUUGUGAUGGAUGAGGAUUUAGCAAAUACAUUGCCUUUUGAUAACAAUGAUGAAUUAGUAGAUGACAUAAUUAGAGAAAAUCAAGAUGCAGAUGAUCAAGAAAUUGAUCAAGGAAUGCAACUUGAUAAUCCAGGAAAUAAUGCAUUCGCGGCUGGAAAUAAUGCGUUCGCGGUUAAUAACAAUGCGUUCGCAGUUGUCCAGAAUCCUCCUAUUGCUGCUGUUGAACCAGCAGCAGAACCAAAUCCAAUUCCAUAACCUCCACAACCUCAAAAUAAUCCAAAUCCAAACCCUCCUCAAGACCCUGAGCUUAGAAGAUCGAAGAGAGCUAGAAAAGCAAAAUUUGGGGGGGAAGAUUGUCCUUACAUUGUCAGUUAUCUGACUGAGACGGACAUAGUAGAGGAUUGUGCAGAAGACAAUGAUCCAACAAAUUUUGUUCAAGCUACAGAAUGUGUUGAGUCAGAGAAGUGGCAAGAAGCUAUGCAGUCAGAAAUUGAGUCGAUGGAGAAAAAUGGAGUUUGGGAAUUAGUUGAAGUUGAUCCGAGACAAAAGGCGAUUGGCUGCAAGUGGAUCUACAAAACCAAGAGAGAUGCAGCAGGAAACAUUGAAAGGCACAAGGCUAGGCUAGUCGCGAAGGGAUUCACUCAGAAAGAAGGCAUAGACUACAUUGAGACCUAUUCGCCAGUUUCUUGUAAAGAUUCUUUUAGUAUUAUUAUGGCACUAGUUGCACACUAUGACAUGGAGCUGCACCAGAUGGACGUCAAGAUAGCUUUCUUGAAUGGAGAGCUCGAUGAAGUGAUCUACAUGAAGCAACCAGAAGGAUUUAUCAAAGCAGGCAAUGAGAAUUUGGUCUGCAAACUGAAGAAGUCAAUUUAUGGAUUGAAGCAAGCUUCCAAACAGUGGUACAAGAAGUUUGACUCGUUGAUGAGUGUGUUUAUUUAAAGACAGUGGGAGACCAAUUUAUUUUCUUAGUGCUAUAUGUUGAUGAUAUACUUUUGGCUAGUAGCAAUCAAAAGCUACUGAAGGAUACCAAAAGCUUUCUGUCAAAGAAUUUUGAUAUGAAAGAUCUAGGUGAAGCAUCAUAUGUACUAGGAAUUGAGAUUAAAAGAGAUAGAGCACAGAAGCUGUUGGGAUUAUCUCAGCAAAAUUACAUUACUAAAGUUCUGAAAAGAUUUAGUAUGGAACAGUGUUCAGGAGGAAAAGUUCCCAUGUCUAAAGGUGAUAAGCUCACAAAAGGUCAACGGCCACAAUCAGAAGCUGAGAAGGAGAGUAUGAAGUCAAAGCCUUAUGCGAGAUUAGUUGGAAGUCUCAUGUAUGCUCAAGUUUGUACAAGACCUGACUUGGCUUUCGGAGUUGGGAUGUUAUCAAGGUUUCAGUCCAAUCCAGGAUAUGAACACUGGGUUGCAGGGAAGAAAGUGUUGAGAUAUCUACAGAAGACGAAGGACCACAUGUUGGUUUACAGGCAAGUCAAAGAUUUGAAGGUCGUUGGAUUUUCAGAUUCCGAUUUCGCAGGGAACUACCCAGAUUCAAAGAAGUCUACUUGUGGAUAUGUGUACAUGUUAGCAGGAGGAGCUAUUGCUUGGAAAACCAUGAAGCAGACAUUGAUCACAACUUCGACCAUGCAAGCUGAGUACAUAGCAGUAUAUGAAGCAGUAUGUGAGGGCGUGUGGAUAAGGAAUUUCCUACAACAAACUCAAGUACUCAGUCACAUUGUGGAAGAUAAGCUCGAAGUAUUUUGUGACAAUGAGGCAGCUGUUUACUUCUGCAAGAACAAUAAGAGAUCCAGCAAUUCCAAGCAUAUAGAUCUAAAGUAUUACAGUGUAAGGGAGAGGGUUAAGAAGGGUGAGUUAGUGGUUCUGAGCAUAGAUACAAACUCACAACUAGCAGACCCUUUCACAAAAGCAUUACCAGUUAAAGUAUUCAAGCAACACACGGCGAACAUAGGUAUUUUGCCGAGAUUAGAUGAUUGAGGUCAGUGGGAGCUAAGACCAGUAGGAGCAAACUAAAAUUUACAAGUUUCUGAGUUCUUGUUUGAUUACUUUCGUAAUAACAGUUGUUUUCGUUUAAAUAAAGUCUUGAGGUAUUUUCAGAAUUGUUUGUGUUAUCCUACAGCUUUACAUUGGUUUCUGAAAAUUUAUCAUGUUAGUUACAGUUGUAUAUAUACUUGCAAAAUAUCAGAUGACUUUGAUCAUGUUUAGCAUGAUGAUACGGUUCAGGCAAAUUAUAAAGUCAUUGGUGUCCAGUUGUUGCUUGAAGUUCUGGUUUAAGAACAUACAGUAGGACUCGAUAUAUAUUAAACACUUGUUAAUGCACAUUAAUAUAUAUCUCAAUACUGAGGAUUUGACAUAUGUAUUUUACAGGAGCUUAUGUUGUAGCAAAGAAGCUCUGCACUUUUUUAAAGUGUAACUCGUUUCUUGUUCUGCAUAAGUGACUGCAAAGUGACCAUGUUGUGAUGGGAUUUUUGAUUCAAUUGUUUCUGGCGCGCACUACAGUAGGUAGUAUAGUUUUUGACAUUACAAGAACUUGAUUAUCAUAAACAUGAAGUGAUUGUCCAAGUGGGAGCUUGUUAGAUCAAUUGUGGACAUAUCACGUAUAUUAUGAUAUCAUGCUAAUGUCAUAACUUAUUUCUACAUGGAAACAAAGACAGUAUCAAUACUAGUUCCUAAUGAUAUCGUGUAUUAUAUCAUUAUAGUAAGGAAUCCUAUACUAAGUCUAGAAGCAAGACUACAUAUCAGUAUUGUAUAAGGAAUCUUAAUGAGAUGACUUGAUCCGCAAGGACUCCUUAAUGGAAGGAACCUUAAGGGUUAAUUGAUUCUCUAUAUAUAGAUGGUAAAGGUCCCUGUUAUCACUACUCACGACUCGUCGAUAUUGCAUACGGUUUCUGUCCAUUGAGAAAGCAGAGAGUAGUGACUAACAGAAGACCUUGCUGAGCACCUCGCGUUCGCCGCAUCAAGACGUAGUAUGGGAUACGAAGGAGUUGCUAUUUGCGAUGAUGGUAAGUUCUUAUUCAUUGCAGUAAACGAUUAACAGAUAAUAGUUAUGCAUAUGAUAUCCGGUAUUUACGCUCAUGACCAUGUAAUUUGUUUUGCAUAUGAUAUCCGGUAUUUAUGCUCAUGACCAUGUAAUUUGUUUUACAAAGGAGCUUUAUAUGGUCCUGUAAUGAUGUUUGCUCUAUGUUGUCAUUGCCUUUUUUAUGUGUUAGAACUUAGAAGUGUGCGGAAGAGAUUUUUUCAUUUCUCUAAGUGAUUUCCAUUUCAAGAGUUAGAGUGACUUUACGAAGAAUUGGUAGGAUGUGAUAUUCUGAUCUCAUUCAUUCACAUAUGCUUUUAAAUUUUCUUUGUAUUCACACAAGGUUUCCAGUGGUGUGUGUGUUUUUACAUACUCUUGGGCUUUCUGGAUUAAAGUCCAGGAAUGCACAUUGUAGGAAUUACUUCCUCUUAGGAAGCAGGGUAGGAAGUAUCUCAGCUCUUGCAAAUAAUGAUAUAAUGGAUGUGAGUCGUCGAGUGCAGCUGCAUUCUUAAAAGAGAAAAAAGUAUUUUGAUACCAUAUGUUGAGAUGGAUCAAUAUAAGUAUGUAAAUUAUUAGUGACGCUCUGCCUGUGAUGAACAGAUCACUAAUUUUGAAAAUGGAUUCUUUUUUGUUUUUGUUUCUAGAAAUAAUUUCAACUUGGAAUUGGAAGACUAUGAGAAGCCUCAGCUUUACUUUUGAAUAGGAAGACUAAAUUUAUUUAUGUCAGUUUUACUUGUGAGAGGCCUCAAAUGCGGAAAAGAUGCACUUACAUAUCGAUUACUACCUAAUAAUGCCCAGGUUCUGGUCUAGGAUUUAUUUGUUUGUUUGAUUAAUUCUACAUAAUAGAAUCAAAAUCAUAAAUCUAGUUGUAAUCAACUAUAUAUAUAACACCCCUAAUGUAAACUAAAUUCCACCGGAUAUAAUGAAAUAGGUAGUUGAUUUGGCUAAUUUCAUUAUUGAUAAACAGCUAACCUACUUGGUUGUUUGCAACAAAGUUGUGAACUGCUCUUGGUCUCCUCAAAGUUCUAGCGAGUGUUAUGUUUUUCACUUUGCAGCCUCAGCUGCAAUUGAGAUAAUUAGGCUUCAUUGUUUGCAUCUGGUUUUCUGAGGACAAAGUGAUAGCCACUCUUUUUUAUGCAGAGACGAUCGGUUGCCAACUCCAACAACCGUGGUAAGGAGUUGGAGCACCACUCAAGGAGGAAACCUAUCAUUUACCGGGUGGCCGAGCUUAGGGAUAAGGGUGCUUCAUUACCGGUGGUUGACGUGUACCCGGUGACAUACGACGUCAACCAGCCUAAAGCUGCUGAGCAUUAUGUAAGUAUCAAUACCUAAUGCCUUAACAAAGUUUCUAUGCCACUUUGCCUGUUGCAUAUUUCAUGUGAUGUUCAUUUGGUAAUAAGUGUAGUUAAAUUAUAGUGAAUUGCUGAUAAGUGUUUUGUGCUGAAACUUUUCGUGUUAUGCGGUGUAGCUGUCUUGAGUUAGAAUUUCAUUAGGAUUGAGGACUCUGUUUGGCUUGAAACUUUGUACCCUUGUCCUUCCAUGUGAUUACCCUUGAUCUGGAAAGUUUGGUGUCGUUUGAUAAGGUAGAUGAUUCAUGCUGAAUUUUUGAAGUUGGGUACACUGCGCUGGAAAUUGUGUUUGCGUUGAGCAGUUCAGUUGCUUCAUAUUUGAUUGGGUUUUGAGUCUUCGUUUGGCUUGAAAUUUUGUGCUCUUGUUCUUCCUUAUGUUUACUCUUGAUCUGCAAAUUUUGGUGUUAUUUGAUAAGAUAGAUGAAUUAUGUUGAUUUUCUAAAAUUAAGUGCUUUAUGCUGAAAUUGUAUCCGAGUUAUGCUGUGGAGUUGUGUUAAGUCUGAAUUUGAUAAGGAUUUAAGACUCAUUUUGGUCUGAAACUUUGUACUCUUGUUCUUCUAUAUGAGAACUAUUGAUUUGGAAAGUUUUAGCUUAUUCCAAUGUAAAUUGAAAAGUUGGUGAUUUUUCAAAGUUUACCCUGCAGUUGGUAAAGUCCCAGAAUUUUGAGUAUGCUUCCUUGUUUUCUAUUGACCAAAGUGUGUGUGUAUAAGCAUGUUGCUAGUGUAUAGAGAACCAUGCUACGUUCCAGAAUUACGAGGAUGAUUUACUAGCCUCAUUAGAAGCUUUCGUGGUGUGUGAUGAUACUAUGGGUGUCCAUAGUAGUUUGGUGUUUGAUUGUUAUAUUGUAAAUGAAAUUGGUUGUUAUAUAUGUGAGGGCCUUGAUAUGGUUCUUGUUUGCUUAUAUGAUAUGCUAGACCUAAAGUUGUACGUGAGGCCUUGAAAUGGCCAUAUGGACAUGUUUGAAAUGGCCUUGAAAUUUCAUGGUUCAAUUACUGUGUGAACAGCAGAAAUAUAACACCUCUAUUUUACUUUGCCUGUUGCAUAUUUCAUGUGAUGUUCAUUUGGUAAAGCUGAUUACUGUUUCAGUUAUCAUGUUCAUGUUUUGAUGAUGUUAUAAUUGUCACAUCCCGACCCUUAUAUUUUUACCUUAUUUACUAGCGUGAUUAUAUUAAGAAUUUUACCGUCUCGAUCAUUGAGUAAAUAGUUUAAUUGGUCCCUAGAGGGGUUUCGGGGACGAUUAUGUGCGGAGGAUUAUUCGUAUGAGGAAAAUACGACGACGGUAAAAAUGGUAACUUUUAGCUAGUAAAAGAUAAUUUUUAUUCGGGUAUUAUUUUUUCGAGGUGUUUUUAUUUUGGAAGAUUGGGUUAUAAGUGGAUUGGACCGGUUUGGAGAGGCCCAAACCCAUCUCCCUCUUUUUCUCUUCUCCCUCUCUCCCGUUUUCUCCUUCCCUCCUCCGAAUUUUCUUCCUCCCACUGCCGGACUGUCCAGCCGCCAGCCACCGGCCGCCGCUCCACCCCAGUUCGGACCCCCCAUCUCCUCCUCUCCCUCCCCGGCCUAGCCCCCGAGCCC
rnacentral:lncRNA from 1 species